AUUGAACGCUGGCGGCAGGCCUAACACAUGCAAGUCGAGCGGGCGAGGUUGCUUCGGUAACUGAGCUAGCGGCGGACGGGUGAGUAAAGCUUAGGAAUCUGCCUAUUAGUGGGGGACAACAUUUCGAAAGGGAUGCUAAUACCGCAUACGUCCUACGGGAGAAAGCAGGGGAUCACUUGUGACUUUGCGCUAAUAGAUGAUCCUAAGUCGGAUUAGCUAGUUGGUGGGGUAAAGGCCUACCAAGGCGACGAUCUGUAGCGGGUCUGAGAGGAUGAUCCGCCACACUGGGACUGAGACACGGCCCAGACUCCUACGGGAGGCAGCAGUGGGGAAUAUUGGACAAUGGGGGGAACCCUGAUCCAGCCAUGCCGCGUGUGUGAAGAAGGCCUUUUGGUUGUAAAGCACUUUAAGCGAGGAGGAGGCUACCGAGAUUAAUACUCUUGGAUAGUGGACGUUACUCGCAGAAUAAGCACCGGCUAACUCUGUGCCAGCAGCCGCCGCGG
rnacentral:rRNA from 1 species